rnacentral:rRNA from 1 species
GUAGGGGUUCUGAGAGGAAGGUCCCCCACACUGGUACUGAGACACGGACCAGACUCCUACGGGAGGCAGCAGUGAGGAAUAUUGGUCAAUGGGCGGGAGCCUGAACCAGCCAAGUCGCGUGAGGGAAGACGGUCCUAUGGAUUGUAAACCUCUUUAGGCGGGGAGCAAUGCCGGGCACGCGUGCCCGGAGGGAGAGUACCCGCAGAAUAAGCAUCGGCUAACUCCGUGCCAGCAGCCGCGGUAAUACGGAGGAUGCGAGCGUUAUCCGGAUUUAUUGGGUUUAAAGGGUGCGUAGGCGGAUUUUUAAGUCAGCGGUAAAAUGUCCGGGCUCAACCCGGGCCGGCCGUUGAAACUGGGGAUCUUGAGUGGGCGAGAAGUAUGCGGAAUGCGUGGUGUAGCGGUGAAAUGCAUAGAUAUCACGCAGAACUCCGAUUGCGAAGGCAGCAUACCGGCGCCCGACUGACGCUGAGGCACGAAAGCGUGGGGAUCGAACAGGAUUAGAUACCCUGGUAGUCCACGCAGUAAACGAUGAAUGCUAGUUGUCCGG